AGUUAUCCGUGGAUCCCUUCUCUAUCACUGGAGAGAGAUCCUGUUGGUUCAGCUGGUGAAUGGUUCAGCAUUAUCUUGUUGGCUCUUCUGAUGGACCCUGUUGUCUUAGUCACUGGAGCAGAGGGGAACCAGGGGUAUUGAUAAGAAGCCCACGCAUUUCUACAAAGAAGGCUGCACAUGUGUGUGACCUCUUCUGCAUCUGAAAGGCUGCCUAGUGACAAGCCAUGUGAUGGGAGAGGAAGAGUCCAGUUUUGCAAAAGCCUGAAGUAGUGCAACAUAUGCAACAAGUGAAAGCAGCUCCUAACACAGAAAGAAGUGAGAGUUUACAGUGGCAGGAAGAGGUGAGCAAGAGUGUUCCUACUUCAAAAGUUACAGGAACGAACCGGCUCCACUCAGGCUGUCAUUUUCAUGAGUGCUGAGCACUCACUUCCUACUGG